rnacentral:rRNA from 1 species
CCCUUAGAUGUUCUGGGCCGCACGCGCGCUACACUGUUCGAAGCAGCGAGUCUUAACCUUGACCGAAAGGUUUGGGUAAUCUUCAGCAAAGUCGAACGUGAUGGGGAUCGAUCAUUGCAAUUAUUGAUCGUGAACGAGGAAUUCCUAGUAAGUGCAAGUCAUCAGCUUGCGCUGAUUACGUCCCUGCCCUUUGUACACACCGCCCGUCGCUACUACCGAUUGAAUGGUUUAGUGAGAUCUCUGGAUUGACGCUGGCUAGGGGGCGACCCUUGGCCAGACUGUUGAGAAACUGCUCAAACUUGAUCAUUUAGAGGAAGUAAAAGUCGUAACA